GAUCUGUGCGCGAGGUGCUUAUCAUAGAAAGACAAACAACUGGUUUAAUGCUGCUUUUACUACACUUUUACUAUAAUAAAACAAAUUAUAAUUAUAUUAUAAAAUCUAAUCUAAUAAAACACCAACAUCUAAAUCCAACUAUAGUGACAACCCUGUGUAUAGAUGUAUUUAAUUCUGCUAUGGCUCAGCUGUUUAUAAGCAGAUCUGUAGAAAUGAGUUAUAUGUCAUUGUCCAGCUCAGUUCAGUUCAAUAGCAUCAGUACAUCAUUUACAAUGGAAUAAACAAAAUUGUACUGAAUACAGUGUUUUUGUUUGUUUGUUUCUAGGAGAGCAUCAACCCCUAAUUGACAUGAAGAACAAAUCAUUGAAAGGUGUACAGUGUACCCCUCUUUGCAACGGAGGAAGCAUUAGGAAAGAGGAGAAGAGAGGAAGUGAAAAGGCACUCAACAGAUGUUGGAAAUGCACUGGUAACAACUAAAAAAAGAUGACCAAACAUAAUUCAACAGAGGAUGAUGGCUGUGGUGAAACAAGCACUCAAAUAAUGAAACUAAGACCAGUGGGAGUGCUGGAGAAAUCAAGUGUAUAAGUCCUCUGUCGUCUCAGCCAUGGAAGAGAUCUUCAGACAUGAAGAGAUCGAGGAGUUAAAUGAAGUCAAAGAGCUAAAAGAAGAUUUACAAUACUAGUGCCAUUUCAGUAUGAAAACAGAGAGAGAGCUGAGGCAGUGGAAAGAAAUGCAUGUUAUUGUGCAAGGGGUAGUUGCUUGGACUAUCAGUGGAGGGACAGAAAGCACUGAGAUUUCAUUAUAAAGAUCUUCAUUUGUGUUCGGAAGAUGAACGAAAGACUUGCGGGUUUGGGACGUCAUGAGGACUACAUCCAAAAUAGUGUUUCCACAUCUGAGAUGAAGGCAGUCAUAAGAACCAAGCGGAACGAUGAGGAUAAGCUCUUCAAAAAAUGAAACCUGUCUGAAUAAUGAGGGAAGAAAUGUGAGAUUUGUAAAUAAACACUAAAUACAUUUAGUGUAACUCAGCCUGUUAUUUUAAGUUUAAAGAAAAGUAAAAUAAUUUAUUGUUGCAUUGCUGUUUGAGACAUUCACUGUUGUUUUGUACCUUAAUUUAUUAUAUUGCAGUUGUGCAAAUAAAACUUGUUAUUCUGAAUAUUCUGGUUGCAUUUCAGUGUUACUGUACAGCAUUUUAUUAGUAUUGCACUUUGGUAGUACUGAAUUGUACUUCAGUUGUAUUAUAUAUUGCAGUACUACUGCAGUUUUAUUGCAGUAUAACUGUAGUAAUACUUCAGCUGUAUUGCAGUAAUACUGCAGUUCUAUUGCAGUUGUUUGUUAGUAAUACUACAGCUCUACUGCAGUUGUAUUUCAAUAGUACUUCAGAUGUAUUGCAGUAAAACGGCAAUAAUGCAGUAAAGUAUUACUUUUUUUAAAACUGCAGUAAUUUUUUGUAGUUCGGGUCGGCUGAAGUCUUGUAGUCGGACUAAGUACAUUGCAUUGUAUCUGGCCCUUAUGGUAGUAAUGGUAGUUACUUAUGGUAGUAAGUAAUGUGAGUGAUACUGUCUUGUUUGGUGGAAAUGAGCUGUGACUCUGUAAUUAAGUGUAAUUGUAAUUAUUUGUAAUGUCCAUUUCUUACCUAGAUUUUUACCCAGUUGAUUUUUCAUGAU